ensembl:misc_RNA Metazoa_SRP Metazoan signal recognition particle RNA
GCUGGGCGUGGUGGCACACGCCUUUAAUCCCAGCUACUUGGGAGGCUGAGGCAGGAGAAUUGCUUGAGCCCGGGAGACUGAGGUUGCAGUGAGCCAAGAUCGUGCCACUGCACUCCUGCCUGGCCGACAAAGCAAGACUCUGUCUCCA